UCCUACGGGGGGCAGCAGUGAGGAAUAUUGGUCAAUGGGCGCGAGCCUGAACCAGCCAAGUCGCGUGAGGGAAGACGGUCCUAUGGAUUGUAAACCUUUUUUGUCGGGGAGCAAAAGACGCCACGCGUGGCGUUCCGAGAGUACCCGAAGAAAAAGCAUCGGCUAACUCCGUGCCAGCAGCCGCGGUAAUACGGAGGAUGCGAGCGUUAUCCGGAUUUAUUGGGUUUAAAGGGUGCGCAGGCGGAAGAUCAAGUCAGCGGUAAAAUUGAGAGGCUCAACCUCUUCGCGCCGUUGAAACUGGUUUU
rnacentral:rRNA from 1 species